UACAGAGGUCUCACGCGUUGUUCGGAUUCAUUGGGCGUAAAGGGUGCGUAGGUGGCGCUGUAAGUCGGGUGUGAAAUUUCGGAGCUUAACUCCGAAACUGCAUUCGAUACUGCGGUGCUUGAGGACUGGAGAGGAGACUGGAAUUCAUGGUGUAGCAGUGAAAUGCGUAGAGAUCAUGAGGAAGACCAGUGGCGAAGGCGGGUCUCUGGACAGUUCCUGACACUGAGGCACGAAGGCCAGGGGAGCAAACGGG
rnacentral:rRNA from 1 species